rnacentral:sRNA from 1 species
GCUGGGUGUGCUUGUGCACACCUGGAAUCCUAGUUACUUGGGAGGCUGAGGCAGGAGGAUUGCAAGUUUGAGGCCAGUCAGCAAUUUAGUGAUGCCAAAAGCAACUCAGUGAGACCCUGUCUCAA